rnacentral:rRNA from 8 species
AAAUUGAAGAGUUUGAUCAUGGCUCAGAUUGAACGCUGGCGGCAGGCCUAACACAUGCAAGUCGAACGGUAACAGGAAGCAGCUUGCUGCUUUGCUGACGAGUGGCGGACGGGUGAGUAAUGUCUGGGAAACUGCCUGAUGGAGGGGGAUAACUACUGGAAACGGUAGCUAAUACCGCAUAACGUCGCAAGACCAAAGAGGGGGACCUUCGGGCCUCUUGCCAUCGGAUGUGCCCAGAUGGGAUUAGCUAGUAGGUGGGGUAACGGCUCACCUAGGCGACGAUCCCUAGCUGGUCUGAGAGGAUGACCAGCCACACUGGAACUGAGACACGGUCCAGACUCCUACGGGAGGCAGCAGUGGGGAAUAUUGCACAAUGGGCGCAAGCCUGAUGCAGCCAUGCCGCGUGUAUGAAGAAGGCCUUCGGGUUGUAAAGUACUUUCAGCGGGGAGGAAGGGAGUAAAGUUAAUACCUUUGCUCAUUGACGUUACCCGCAGAAGAAGCACCGGCUAACUCCGUGCCAGCAGCCGCGGUAAUACGGAGGGUGCAAGCGUUAAUCGGAAUUACUGGGCGUAAAGCGCACGCAGGCGGUUUGUUAAGUCAGAUGUGAAAUCCCCGGGCUCAACCUGGGAACUGCAUCUGAUACUGGCAAGCUUGAGUCUCGUAGAGGGGGGUAGAAUUCCAGGUGUAGCGGUGAAAUGCGUAGAGAUCUGGAGGAAUACCGGUGGCGAAGGCGGCCCCCUGGACGAAGACUGACGCUCAGGUGCGAAAGCGUGGGGAGCAAACAGGAUUAGAUACCCUGGUAGUCCACGCCGUAAACGAUGUCGACUUGGAGGUUGUGCCCUUGAGGCGUGGCUUCCGGAGCUAACGCGUUAAGUCGACCGCCUGGGGAGUACGGCCGCAAGGUUAAAACUCAAAUGAAUUGACGGGGGCCCGCACAAGCGGUGGAGCAUGUGGUUUAAUUCGAUGCAACGCGAAGAACCUUACCUGGUCUUGACAUCCACAGAACUUUCCAGAGAUGGAUUGGUGCCUUCGGGAACUGUGAGACAGGUGCUGCAUGGCUGUCGUCAGCUCGUGUUGUGAAAUGUUGGGUUAAGUCCCGCAACGAGCGCAACCCUUAUCCUUUGUUGCCAGCGGUCCGGCCGGGAACUCAAAGGAGACUGCCAGUGAUAAACUGGAGGAAGGUGGGGAUGACGUCAAGUCAUCAUGGCCCUUACGACCAGGGCUACACACGUGCUACAAUGGCGCAUACAAAGAGAAGCGACCUCGCGAGAGCAAGCGGACCUCAUAAAGUGCGUCGUAGUCCGGAUUGGAGUCUGCAACUCGACUCCAUGAAGUCGGAAUCGCUAGUAAUCGUGGAUCAGAAUGCCACGGUGAAUACGUUCCCGGGCCUUGUACACACCGCCCGUCACACCAUGGGAGUGGGUUGCAAAAGAAGUAGGUAGCUUAACCUUCGGGAGGGCGCUUACCACUUUGUGAUUCAUGACUGGGGUGAAGUCGUAACAAGGUAACCGUAGGGGAACCUGCGGUUGGAUCACCUCCUUACCUUAAAGAAGC